GACGAACGCUGGCGGCGUGUUUAACACAUGCAAGUGGAGCGACGAACCGGGGCUUGCCCCGGGGCAGAGCCGCGAACGGGUGAGUAACACGUGGGUAACCUGCCUCAAUGAUUGGGACAACCCGGGGAAACUCGGGCUAAUACCAAAUGUGUUCACUCCUUCUAAGGGGAGUGAGGAAAGGAAGCUUCGGCCUCCGCAUUGAGAUGGGCCCGCGGCCCAUUAGCUUGUUGGUGAGGUAACGGCUCACCAAGGCUUCGAUGGUAGCUGGUCUGAGAGGACGAUCAGCCACACUGGGACUGAGACACGGCCCAGACUCCUACGGAGGCAGCAGUGGGAAUCUUGCACAAUGCGCGAAAGCGUGAUGCAGCAACGCCGCGUGGGGAAGACGGCCUCCGGGUUGAAACCCCUUUCAGUUGGGACGAAGCUUCGUCGGUGAAUAGCCGGUUGGAGUGACGGUACCUUCAGAAGAAGCCCCGGCUAACUACGUGCCAGCAG
rnacentral:rRNA from 1 species